UCUAAUAUGGCAGAGUAGUGCAAUGGACUUAAACCCCGUGUAUAAAGAUAAGCCCUUUUUUUAGAA
rnacentral:tRNA from 1 species